rnacentral:tRNA from 1 species
GCACCGGUAGCUCAGCGGCAGAGCGCCUUCCUGACACGAAGGUGCGCGUGGGUUCGAGUCCCUCCUGGUGUA